CAAAAACAAAAGUCACUAGGCAGGAAACUUUGGGAAACUGGUUCUGCUGUCUGCCGCUGUGUCAGGUGUCCUGGGUUUGUUGACGGACUGCAGCUGUCCUGGCCGCUAGAGAGGUCAAGGAGAAACUGGCAGCUCUGAGUCUCAGUAUUGAAGAGCUCCCGUCCCUCUACACUACUCCACAGCCCCAGCUCAAGUAAGUGGAAUGAGAGGCGGGGCCAGUGGAACAGGGUGUGGCCGAGCUGAGGAAAUGGGC